CAUGCAAGUCGAACGAGACCUUCGGGUCUAGUGGCGCACGGGUGCGUAACACGUGGGAAUCUGCCCUUGGGUUCGGAAUAACAGUUGGAAACGACUGCUAAUACCGGAUGAUGACGUAAGUCCAAAGAUUUAUCGCCCAAGGAUGAGCCCGCGUCGGAUUAGCUAGUUGGUGGGGUAAAGGCCUACCAAGGCGACGAUCCGUAGCUGGUCUGAGAGGAUGAUCAGCCACACUGGGACUGAGACACGGCCCAGACUCCUACGGGAGGCAGCAGUGGGGAAUAUUGGACAAUGGGCGAAAGCCUGAUCCAGCAAUGCCGCGUGAGUGAUGAAGGCCUUAGGGUUGUAAAGCUCUUUUACCCGGGAAGAUAAUGACUGUACCGGGAGAAUAAGCCCCGGCUAACUCCGUGCCAGCAGCCGCGGUAAUACGGAGGGGGCUAGCGUUGUUCGGAAUUACUGGGCGUAAAGCGCACGUAGGCGGCUUUGUAAGUAAGAGGUGAAAGCCUGGAGCUCAACUCCAGAACUGCCUUUUAGACUGCAUCGCUUGAAUCCAGGAGAGGUGAGUGGAAUUCCGAGUGUAGAGGUGAAAUUCGUAGAUAUUCGGAAGAACACCAGUGGCGAAAGCGGCUCACUGGACUGGUAUUGACGCUGA
rnacentral:rRNA from 1 species